rnacentral:miRNA from 1 species
UGGAGAGAAAGGCGGUG